rnacentral:rRNA from 1 species
AACGAACGCUGGCGGCGCGCCUAAUACAUGCAAGUCGAGCGAGAAGGUGUAGCAAUACACUUGUAAAGCGGCGAACGGGUGAGGAAUACAUGGGUAAUCUACCAUCGAGUGGGGAAUAACCAACCGAAAGGUUGGCUAAUACCGCGUACGCCUCCGAGUCUUCGGGUUCGGAGGGAAAGCUGCACUGUGAGUGUAGCGCUCUUUGAUGAGCUCAUGUCCUAUCAGCUUGUUGGUAGGGUAACGGCCUACCAAGGCUUUGACGGGUAGCUGGUCUGAGAGGACGAUCAGCCACACUGGCACUGCGACACGGGCCAGACUCCUACGGGAGGCAGCAGUAAGGAAUAUUGCGCAAUGGGCGAAAGCCUGACGCAGCGACGCCGCGUGGGGGAUGAAGGUCUUCGGAUUGUAAACCCCUUUCGGAGGGAAGAUGGAACGAGCAAUCGUUCGGACGGUACCUCCACGAAGCAGCCACGGCCAACUUCGUGCCAGCAG